GAAAGGGGACACCUAAAGCUCAAAAGCCCGGGGCACCAUUGACAUGGACUACCAAGUGCCAAAAUGCAUUUGAAACACUCAAACCCCUAUUCCCGGCUGAGCCAGUUCUCAAACACCCAGACCCUGACCGGCCCUUUGUAAUUCAAGCUGAUGCCUCAGACACAGCAAUAGGAGCAGUGCUGCUCCAAAAUGAAAAAGGGGGGCCCCUCAAGCCCUGCGCUUAUAUCUCUCGUAAAUUCACAGAAACAGAAAGGUGUUGGCUGGUAUGGGAAAAAGAAGCCUUCGCAGUUCGCUGGGCUCUAUUAACUUGGCGACACCUCCUGGAAGGAUCGCCUCACCCUUUUGAGAUUUUAUUUCGAAUGUGAUGACAUUCAUCUUGUUGGAGAGCAGCAUGUCAGGAUCUGCGCAAGCAACUACUGAAAGGCUAUUAGAAAGUCAUCAUAAAAUUUACAAUGUAGACAAAUAGCUAGUAGGUUAGAAUGUUAGUUAAGACAAGAACCAUGAUUUGUAUUCCCGCUUGCCGGUUCCUGCCAUAAAAGUCAGAGGGAGGGAGAAUAAUAAAACAAGACGGGCCAGGUGCACCGUGAUCUCGGCGAGAGGCGCCGGCAAGGUCGGACGGCCGCGGGACCCGGGAAGAGGCGCGAAGAAUUCAAGCGGGAAAAGUAGACUAGAGGGGGGUUAAAAGGAGAGCCCUGGCCGGGGAGGGUCAGUCUCAGCAAUCUCUGGAAUGCUGUAUGCUGCUUCUCAAUAAAGAAAUCUUGGCUGGAAACAAA